rnacentral:miRNA from 1 species
CAGGAUGCCCAGUUACAUUUGAAUUUCAGAUAGAUAAUGAAUUUAUGUUUAGUAAGUAUACCCCAUACAAUAUUUGGGACAUACUUAAUCUAAAACUAUUCUUUGUUGUUUAUCUGAAAUUCAAAUUUAACUGGGCAUCC